rnacentral:rRNA from 1 species
GUACGGGGGGGGCAAGCGUUGUUCGGAAUUACUGGGCGUAAAGGGCGUCGUAGGCGGCCAACUAAGUCAUACGUGAAAUCCCUCGGCUUAACCGGGGAACUGCGUCUGAUACUGGAUGGCUUGAGUUCGGGAGAGGGAUGCGGAAUUCCGAGGUGUAGCGGUGAAAUGCGUAGAUAUCUGGGAAGGAAUACCAGUGGCGAAGGCGGCUCACUGGACCGGUUCGUGACGCUGAGGCGCGAAAGCGUGGGGAGCAAACGGG